rnacentral:lncRNA from 1 species
AAAAAAGAAAGAAAGAAAGAAAGAAAGAAAGAAAAAGAAAUGCUCUGUCGUCUGUUUUGUCUGUUAGUCCCUCCUUACUCUCUGGCAAAACAAGAUGCUGCAGGCUCAUUUUUUAUGCUCUCCUCCACUUGCUUGGACUCUGACAUCCUGCCCCAUACUACACAGCUGCCUUUGACAUGGCACAGAUGCCUACCUGACUCAGUCUCAUCUGAAUUAUCUGAGAGGAAAAGAGAAGGAAGGAAAAGAGGAAGAAGAGGAGAAUGCACAGAGUUUCAGUAGCUCUUACGACUGGAAAAAAAAUUCUGGACAAACAUUAUCGCACGAAGGUUUAGGGGCUGGGAGAUACAAGAUCAAGGUGUCAGCAGAUUUGAUGUCUGGAAAAGGCU